AUUGAACGCUGGCGGCAUGCCUUACACAUGCGAGUCGAACGGCAGCAUGAUCUAGCUUGCUAGAUUGAUGGCGAGUGGCGAACGGGUGAGUAAUACAUCGGAACGUGCCCUGUAGUGGGGGAUAACUAGUCGAAAGAUUAGCUAAUACCGCAUACGACCUGAGGGUGAAAGUGGGGGACCGCAAGGCCUCAUGCUAUAGGAGCGGCCGAGUUCUGAGUAGCUAGUUGGUGAGGUAAAGGCUCACCAAGGCGGCGGUCAGUAGCUGGUCUGAGGGGACGAACCGCCCCUCUGGGGCUGAGACGCGGCCCAGACUCCUACGGGAGGCAGCAGUGGGGAAUUUUGGACAAUGGGCGAAAGCCUGAUCCAGCAAUGCCGCGUGUGUGAAGAAGGCCUUCGGGUUGUAAAGCACUUUUGUCCGGAAAGAAAUGGCUCUGGUUAAUACCUGGGGUCGAGGACGGUACCGGAAGAAUAAGGACCGGCUAACUACUU
rnacentral:rRNA from 1 species